rnacentral:rRNA from 1 species
AGUGAACGCUGGCGGUAGGCCUAACACAUGCAAGUCGAACGGCAGCACAGGAGAGCUUGCUCUCUGGGUGGCGAGUGGCGGACGGGUGAGGAAUACAUCGGAAUCUACCUUUUCGUGGGGGAUAACGUAGGGAAACUUACGCUAAUACCGCAUACGACCUACGGGUGAAAGUGGGGGACCGCAAGGCCUCACGCGAUUAA